rnacentral:rRNA from 1 species
UGGGGAAUCUUGCGCAAUGCGCGAAAGCGUGACGCAGCAACGCCGCGUGGGGGAAGAAGGCCUUCGGGUUGUAAACCCCUUUCAGUUGGGACGAAGCUCCGCCGGUUAAUAGCCGGCCGGAGUGACGGUACCUUCAGAAGAAGCCCCGGCUAACUACGUGCCAGCAGCCGCGGUAAUACGUAGGGGGCAAGCGUUGUCCGGAAUCAUUGGGCGUAAAGAGCGUGUAGGCGGCCCGGUAAGUCCGCCGUGAAAGUCCAGGGCUCAACCCUGGAAUGCCGGUGGAUACUGCCGGGCUCGAGUCCGGAAGGGGCGAGUGGAAUUCCUGGUGUAGCGGUGAAAUGCGCAGAUAUCAGGAGGAACACCGAUGGCGAAGGCAGCUCGCUGGGACGGUACUGACGCUGAGACGCGAAAGCGUGGGGAGCAAACAG